rnacentral:tRNA from 1 species
GCCUUCGCUCGUUGGUGAGCGCCGCUGUUCGACAGCGGUUCACGGGUUCGACUCCCGUGGAAGGCC